rnacentral:lncRNA from 1 species
GUCCAGCUGAAAAAGGUUUAAAAUUAGCACUUCGGAAGCUGUCAAAAGAUUUAAGACGCCCUAAACAUAAAAUUGUCCAUAUUUUGAGUUAGAGCCGAUGAAGUUUUCUAUAAUUUUUAUAUAAUUUGUCCCAAAAGUAGUACAACACACUGUAAAAGUUUCUUUGAGAAAGCGCAGGUGGGAUUUUUUUUUAUUUUCAUUUAUGUUCUAAAAGAAAUACACUACGAAAUAAUUGUGGUCUCGGACCAUAACUCAAGAACUGUAAAAGUGAAGCUGCCAAAAACUGAACUUGAACUGAGUUUAGAGGUAAUAAGCAUUGUAUACACAUUUCAUUAAAUUUAGUUGAGACAAACUUAAGUUAAGAGAACAGAAACGAAAAAAAUCUUCAAUUUUUCCACUUGUAAAGGGGCAUAACCCUAGAAUGGUAAUCAAAGUGCUUGUAAUCACUGAAUGGUAAAGAUUGUUUUAAUUUAUUAGUUGGUAGUAAAAGUGAAUAUUGCAUUGUAUAUUGC